rnacentral:rRNA from 1 species
GACGAACGCUGGCGGCGUGCUUAACACAUGCAAGUCGAACGGAAAGGCCCUGCUCUUGUGGGGUGCUCGAGUGGCGAACGGGUGAGUAACACGUGAGUAACCUGCCCUUGACUUUGGGAUAACUUCAGGAAACUGGGGCUAUUAUAGGAUAGGAGCUCCUGCAGCAUGGUGGGGGUUGGAAAGUUUCGGCGGUUGGGGCUGGACUCGCGGCUUAUCCGCUUGAUGGUGGGGUAGUGGCUUACCAAGGUUUCGAAGGGUAGCCGGCCUGGGAGGUUGACCGGCCACAAUAGGACUGAGAUACGGCCCAGACGCCUACGGGAGGCAGCAGUGGGGAAUAUUGCACAAUGGGCGGAAGCCUGAUACAGCAACGCCGCGUGCGGGAUGACGGCCUUCGGGUUGUAAACCGCUUUCGCCUGUGACGAAGCGUGAGUGACGGUAAUGGGUAAAGAAGCACCGGCUAACUACGUG